GUAGGCUAUGGGGACAUGAGGCCAGUAACCGUUGGAGGUAAAAUCGUAGGGUCUUUGUGUGCCAUAGCUGGAGUGCUGACUAUUGCAUUGCCAGUACCUGUCAUUGUGUCCAAC